rnacentral:rRNA from 1 species
GGGUUGUGAGGUUAAGCGACUAAGCGUACACGGUGGAUGCCCUGGCAGUCAGAGGCGAUGAAGGACGUGCUAAUCUGCGAAAAGCGUCGGUAAGGUGAUAUGAACCGUUAUAACCGGCGAUGUCCGAAUGGGGAAACCCAGUGCAAUUCGUUGCACUAUCGUUAACUGAAUACAUAGGUUAACGAGGCGAACCGGGGGGAACUGAAACAUCUAAGUACCCCGAGGAAAA